UAAACUCAUGAAAACGGAUUUGAAGCAUCGUGGCACAUAACCGAAGACCUUUAAUUUUCGGAUCGUGAAUUGGAGGCCGUUCGGGUGGUCGCGCGAGAGAUCGGGCCAAACCGGGUGCCGGGUGCCGCGGGAGGCCGAUUGCAAGUGUCGACAAGCAAUCGGAAUGCGAAAUGAGGUGGGUUGUGCUUACCGAAGCGACUAGGUCGCCCUUUAUGUUUAAGAAACAUACGAAUUCACAUUGAUGCAUAUAGUUGUAUUGGUAGGCUUACAUGAUAAUAUGAAUGCUUGAAACAUAUUAUGUAGUUGAUAUUACCUACCAAUGAGAUGAAAUGUAUAAUGAAUUAAAUGCUAAAAGAAUGCAUGAGAUGCUAAGUAUAGACUACUUUGGAUGAUGAUUAUAUGUAUGUUGACAUAUCAUGUGAUGCUAGUAAUAUAUGUGCAUGAUGACAUGUUGUGAAUUAACAUAUUGUGGAUUAUGUUAAAUAGAAACAUAUACAUGAUGACAUAUAUUGCAUAUGAUAGAAGAAUUAUACAUGUUGCCAUAUUGUGGAACAUAGUAGAUGAAUUAUGCAUGUUGAACUUGGUCGAUUAGAGAAAUUGACAUUGGAAAACAAGAACACAUCGAGUGGCAUUAAUGUAGUGUAUUUGACACUAGAGGUUUGAGAACCUAGGGAUAGGUGAAUCCCUUAGAAAAUGCCUUGUGGAUAAAGAACUUAGUAAACCUAAGUACCCUCACAUGGAGAGGUUGUCGAUGAGUUAUUGAGAUAUUGACUCUAGUUGUAGAGCAUCCUCACUUGGAGAGGAUUUGAUUGGGUUGUUGACUCCAGUUGUAGAGCAUCCUCACUUGGAGAGGAUUCGAUUGGGUUAUUGACUCUAGUUGUAGAGCCUCCUCACUUGGAGAGGAUUGGAUUGGGUGUUGACCCUAGUUACAGUGUAUCCUCACUUGGAGAGGAUUGAUCUAGCUCACAGUCUGCGUGUAGGGUGGUAUAGCCAUCCAAUCCCCACAUGGAGGGGAUUGUCGUCGAGUACUCCGGAGUGUCGCGCGACUAGGACCACUUGGAGGUCCGGACCACAUGGAGGUCCGCAGACAGUCCCGGGCUUGGGUGCACUUAGAGCUCCCUCCCCACUUUGGGAUUGAAAGAUGAGUUAUUGGCGAACCCUAGGGCUUCGCUACAGAUUGGGUAAAAGAACAGUGAACAAUGCCAUUGAACAUUAUUAUUCGAACAUGGAUCGAAUUUGUCAGCAUGAUAGUAAACCUUUACUAUUUGAUGCAUGGUAUGAGUUUUAGUUGCAUCCCAGUUGAGUGGAUUUAGGGCCGAGGUGCAUGUGAGACAUCCUUCACCUUGAGCCUGGCUUUGUGCGGUAUACCGCGUGUGAUUGACUCAAGACUGAGUCGAGUGGAUAGCUUAUAAAAGCAGGUUAAACCCUAUGAGCAGAAUUAUAAUUGACAAGAAUCUAAGAUAGAGGAAAACUUAGAAGUCAAUUGGUUGAACCGUGAAUGACAGGAAUAAAAGUAGUAUCGAUUGAACUACUAGUUGGUUGCAUGGUUGCAUAAACUGCAUAAAUUUCAUAUUGCAUUUUGUGAGGCACAACAUGUAUUUCAAUACUUGAAUAUAUAUAUCUGUUGGAUAUCUGUUGGACUAACAUGUUGCAGGGCCUCCUUAGACCUAUUGGUCGAGCUUUUCCCUUGGGUGGCCGUACCCACUGGGAACCAUGGAGUUGGUUCUCACCCCACGUUGUUUUGGGGUGUUACAGGUUCGCACGUGAGCGGCGCGGCGGCGCAAGGCGAGGGCGUAGCUCCAUAGAUAGCGCCCUACCCCAGAGACCAGAGAUAGAGGUACCCCGAGUCGGCAUAGCCUAGGAGUAGAGGGAAAAGAAAAGAAAGAGCAAACUUGUAAUAAUAUUGCGAUCAUUAAUUGUAUUUGGAAGAAAAUGUAAUGUAAUAAUGCUAAUGGGAUGUAAAAAUGAAUCUAAUGGGAAUGCUUGUAAUAACAUAGGGUGUGUUAUGUUGUUUGAUACCUUCCUUAUGCAAUCUUGCUUGAAUACUGUUCCUGGUUGGAACUUCUUGUACUUGUAUUGAUUGCGAUGCCUAGGACGUACAGGGGAGACUCUGUCCGUUCGGCGGUCUGUCGGCGGCGCCGCGACCUCGGCCAAAUAGGCGGGUGGUCGCGGGUCGUGACAGAUAAUAGUGGUAUCAGAGUAUAAAGUAGAGAAUGGAAAAUAUUUUAGGCGGACCUAGGAGACCCUAGGAUAGUAAAUCAUAGGAGAAUAAGGCUCGUGAGAGACGAGGACUUGUGACUUAUGGCGAAAGAUUGAUCGAUUGGGUCAGGUUAGUAAACCUCUAAAAUGGAUGUUAGAGGUAGACUCGAGGUGUGGUUUAUUCUCAACCGAGGGUGUUCAUGUUAGGUAUACACAACAUGAAACCGAGUGAUGAGAAUAGACACCCUUGCAUGACUUUCGCCCGAUUCGAGUCGGUGUCAGUUGUUUCGCGCUCGACCUUGAGGGUCGAGAAUCGACCGAGUUGUCGUGUCUUAGGAAGCGAUAGCACCGUGUAGGCGAUCUUAAUCUAGAUCGGCGUGGGAUGGGACGAGUGGCGUCCCUAAGCAAUCCGAAACUAGCGGAGACUUGGGACUUCGCGAGUGAUUGGCCACUCUCGUGUGAGUGGUAGGGUAAUGCCUCAGCGGAGACCUUGGCCGGACGUGGUCGAGGUUGUGCAUGUAAGGAAGUGAAUUCUCGAAAUCCGAGAGUUGUGCUUCGUCCAGGAUCGACUCUUUGUCGAGUGAGUAUCCUUCGAAAAAGCUAGAGAUGUCAAAAAUACAAAAAGUGCAUUGGAAACGUGUCCGCGAGAGCAAAUUUGCAAAAAAUCUGGACUUAGCAGAUUUUGCUCUCAGGGACCGGUCCCUGGAAGGGAGGACCGGUCCCCGUAGCUAAUGGUUGCGGGGGAGGUUGAUGCAACCGGUCCCUGGCUGAGGGGACCGGUCCCCGUAUGCGACACCAGUGAGAGAAGGGCAAAGAAAGGCUAAGUCCUGGAAAUUCGGCUCUCGGGGACCGGUCUCUCAGGAAGGACCGGUCUCCCAGGGACCGGUCUCUCGGGUGGGGACCGGUUCCCGUAUGCGAAAGGUCCCCUGGCCGCGGGGAGGGCUCUCGGGGACCGGUCUCCCUGACGAGGGACCGGUCCCUCUGGGCGCAGAAUGCCCAGUGAGGGCUGUGCACAAGGAUGAAAGUUGAGGGGCUUAUUUGCAUUUAUGCAACACGUGGGGCUAUGUGAGGAGUAUGAGAGCUCUUUUCUCUUAUUUCUCACCCACACACCCUCUCAUAUCUCUCUUUCUCUCUCUAGAAGACAAGAAGAGGAAGAAGAAAGGAAAGGAAAGAAAGAGAAGGAGAAGGAGGUCUUCCUCAUCUUCUUCAUCUUCUCCUUGGUUGGAGCUUCUUGGAGAGGUAAGCUUCUAAGCUCUCUCUCAUGGUGGAUUUCUAGAGAUAGGUUUGAUUGCUCUAGAAAUGGAGUUUUGUGUUAUCUGAGGGCGUAGUACCUGCCAGUACAGGUAUAGAGCCAGAUGGCACUAGCGAAGUGCUAGAAGUAAUUUAUGGCGAGAAGUGAGACUCGCGGUAGAGAUAGAAGUGGCGAAAUGACUCUCAGAGCAAUAUGAGUAGUAAAUUGCGAGAGUUGAGCCAUGAUGCUUAUGAGAACACCCGAGUGGUCCGAAAAUUUCGGAUGUCAUUCUGAUAGAUCGAGCAGUGAAAGUAGCAUCACUGUUGAGAGAACGGUCGAUUAGUGGCCAAGUUCGAGCACGUGGGCCUAGUAGUACCUCAAGGUGAGGUAGGCGGUUGCGCUCGUGCGGCUGGUGUGCAUAGGCAAGAUUGCCUAAUGCUGGACUUAGUGUGGGACGCUAUAGAGGCUUAUAGAGCGCUCAAGUGUGGGUACUCGUAGAGUGCGGUUUCGAUUCAGCCGGGAGAGUGAGUUGGUAGUAGCACUCAGCAUUGCUAAGUGUGAAGAGGGCCAUGGAUCACUCGUGGGGCUGGUGGCUCGCACUAGGUGCAUAGGAGCCGAUAGUGAUACGUAUUGCUCGAUAGAGCGUGUAAUGCGAUUGAUAGUAUACUGAGAGUACAAUUGUGACCCAAUCCGAGAAUUUGAUACGGUUUGGGAUCUUGGUUGCUCCUGGUUGGAGUGUGUGCGAAUUCCCAAGAGAAUUUCGCCCCAGUUAUGAUUGGGUCUACGCUUGCGAGCGAGAGGCGCUACGCAUAUGUUGAGAUGGGUUUAGGCUGUAGGCCUACGUAGUAUCGGUGGCCUUUGGCUGACCUGUGAAAAACCGAGGAAAGUGAUUUGGCGAGUAGCCUUAUCGGGGAGUUUGACUUGAGUUCACGAACGACGUGCUCGUGUGAGUCGUUGCGAAAGUGGUAUGAUGUUGACCGUGGCAUAUGGUAUUAGGUAAUGAGGUGCUCUUGGCGAGGCCUUGAGCUAAUGGCCAGCCACGUAGAAUUGGAAUUGGGAUGCGCCGAGGUGGGCCAUCUCACGUCAAAGUUAAGGGCUAGUCUGGAAUUAAAGCACUUACGAUGAAGCGGUGCACCGGUGAUAUUGCUUUUAGGCAAUGUCGGUGAUUGAUUUGGAAUGCAUUCCCUGAAGGGGAAGUAAAUGCAAGGAAGAGUUCUUGCUUGUCAAGUGGCAAGUGGUGUUGGAGCGCGUAGAGUCGUCGAGUUUCGACUUGCGCUACCACAUAGAGUGACGGAGACCGUAAUUUACUUUGUGAGGUGUGCCUUGCAAAGUUCGAUGCAUUUGGUAUCACGAGCUCCGUAGUAGUCCUUUUGGAUAGUUCCGAUGAGUGAAAGGCUACUCCGAGAUGCAAAAGUGCAUUGGGACCCUCGACUAUUUGAUAAGUUGAGCUGGGGUAUGAAUUGGAAUUGAAGUGAGAUAGUUUCGAGGACGAAACUCUUUUAAGGAGAGGAGGAUGUAAGGUACCGGACUUCUAAAAUCAUGAAGUUACGGUGUACAUUUGGUUUGAAAGCCAUUUGAAUGGUUCUGGUGAGGUUGCGAUGGAAUGUAAUAUACCGGAUUUUUAAAUAUAAAAAUAAAAAUAAAUAAAAAUAGUAUGAGAUACUAUUUUUAUUGGAUUUAGAGGAGUAAAACAUAAGUCAGAAGUGACUUGUGCGGAAAUCGGAAUGAAAACAGAAGAUUUAGAAUUUUCUGUUAGAAACGGGGCAGAUAAAUAAGCAGAAAAUGCACAGUCUCAGAAAAUUAUGAAAAUUGGAGGAUAAGUCAGAAAUAUUUUUAUGAGACUAGAUUUAAAGUUUCAUAUUUUUAUGACACACGUAGAGUGAGAAAUAAAAUCCGACAGCUAUCUGAUAAAGAUUACAGUUCGGUACAGUUUUCGGUGACCAAAUGGGGUCGAAACUGAAAACUUAAAAUAUAUUCUUACUCAGUACGUUAAACUGAGCUUCCCUGUCAAAUUUGAGCUCAAACGGACAUUCAGAAGGGCUCAAACUGUUCCGAACUGCAAAAACUGCCUGAAGUGAAUAGUGUUUUGGGGUGUAUUAUAAAGAAGAUGUUGCUUCUUCUUCCCCAACCGACCAGCACCCCACCACCCUCUCGUGCGCAUGGUGAGAGAGAGAGAGAAAGCUCCUUUCUCUCUCUAGAUUUCUCUCUCAUUUCUCUAUAUUUCUCGCUCAAAUUCGCGGGGUUGGUGGAGAAGAUGCUUGCGAACGCAUUGGAGGCGACGGAUCGAGCUUUCGUGCGCCCGUUGGAGCGGCGUAUUUUCGUCGCGGCGUUCACAUUGAGGUAAGCUUUUGGGAUUUGGCUUAAUCCUUAGCUUUAAGUGUUCUAAUAGCCUCUAAUGAGCUUUGUUAGCAUGUUGAUCCAUUUAAUUUUGGAUUAUUUUGAGGUUAAUUGCAUAUUAGGGCUCCGAAUGGGGUUUUGUAAAAUAUAAGGGUUUGAUCUAAUUUGACCCUUCGUAAACCUAAUUGCUAGGUAAACGAACGCGUUGGCGAAGACGGUUCGGCGAUUCGUCGAGCCGGUGCGAAGUUAUUAAAGAAACGGACGUUUAGGCUUCAUUUUCGUCUGAAGGGCCUAGGCGACGUCGUAAAAUCCUGGAAACGGAUUUGAAGCACCGUAACAGCAAAACGAAGACCCUUUUUGCCCGAGGUUGCGAAGCGAUGCGCGGUUGGUGCGCAAUUGCAAGUUCCGGCGGAACCGAGCACCGGGUGCCGCGGGAGGCCGAUUGCAAGUGUCGACAAGCAAUCGGAAUGCGAAAUGAGGUGGGUUGUGCUUACCGAAGCGACUAGGUCGCCCUUUAUGUCUAAGAAACAUACGAAUUCACAUUGAUGCAUAUAGUUGUAUUGGUAGGCUUACAUGAUAAUAUGAAUGCUUGAAACAUAUUAUGUAGUUGAUAUUACCUACCAAUGAGAUGAAAUGUAUAAUGAAUUAAAUGGUAAAAGAAUGCAUGAGAUGCUAAGUAUAGACUACUUUGGAUGAUGAUUAAAUGUAUGUUGACAUAUCAUAUAAUGUGCAUGAUGACAUGUUGUGAAUUAACAUAUUGUGGAUUAUGUUAAAUAGAAACAUAUACAUGAUGACAUAUAUUGCAUAUGAUAGAAGAAUUAUACAUGUUGCCAUAUUGUGGAACAUAGUGGAUGAAUUAUGCAUGUUGAACUUGGUCGAUUAGAGAAAUUGACAUUGGAAAACAAGAACACAUCGAGUGGCAUUAAUGUAGUGUAUUUGACACUAGAGGUUUGAGAACCUAGGGAUAGGUGAAUCCCUUAGAAAAUGCCUUGUGGAUAAAGAACUUAGUAAACCUAAGUACCCUCACAUGGAGAGGUUGUCGAUGAGUUAUUGAGAUAUUGACUCUAGUUGUAGAGCAUCCUCACUUGGAGAGGAUUUGAUUGGGUUGUUGACUCUAGUUGUAGAGCAUCCUCACUUGGAGAGGAUUUGAUUGGGUUGUUGACCCUAGUU
rnacentral:lncRNA from 1 species